CCCAGGUCCGGAGGCCACUCACCAGCAGUAAUAACACCAGGCAGAUGCCUCCUCCAGCCGGGGUCCGCUUCAUUCUCUACUCUCCGGAAAGUCCCAGCAGGGAGAGUCCAGAGCUCCAGGUUUUGUAAUAAAAAGUGGCUGGAAGAAGUCGUCAUGAUGGUGUGGGCCGUAUGGAGAAGAAAAGUAAAAGUGAAUGAUUCCGAUCAGAGAAGAUGUAAUCUGACUGUUCUUAGGAUGGAGUCUGGGAAAAAUGUCUAAGACAAAGGGGUGAAGAGGAGGGCAAGUGAACAAAAAAAGUGUAGAAAACAAAAGAAGACUAUACUAUACAUGUAUACAGUAUGGAAUGAAUGUAGGAGGCAAGUUAGAUGAUUCCAGCAACUAAAGCCAAGUGAUUUUUAGUGUUGGCAUAAAUUGGAUUGUUUACAUGUAUGAAAAAAAAGAUUUUGCGAGUAUUAAUGGGAUGAUAAGCUGACAAUGUUAGGACUCUGUGUUAGAAAUGUUACUAUAUUGCACAAUCUCUUUAAAGGGAUUAUCCACCAUAAGGUGAUUUUAGUACGUACCUGGCAGGCAGUAAUGGACAUGCUUAGGAAGGAUCUGCUCUUGGGGCUAAAUGGCUAUGUUGUGAGAUUACCAUAAAACUGUGGCUAGCUGUUUGUGAACUAGUACGUCCUGUUUGACUUUUCUUUUUUUGACUACAAAUCCCAUAAUGCCAUCUUACUCCCUCCCACACAUCAGCCACCCCACCCAGUGAAACAUAAAUUAGCUGCAUCCAUUCAAAUCAGUGUGGUUUUCAAUCAGGGUGCCUCCAGCUGUUGCAUUAGUUGCAGAUUGAUCCCUCCACCCAUUGAAGCAGACAGGCUCCCUGUCAUCAGCUGACUAGUGAGUCAGGUCUCGGCCACAUUGCAAACUGGGAAAAAUCCGAGACAACAGUCAUUUUGUAUGCUGGUAAAAUAAAUAUUGGAGUGGAAAUCACAGAAGAAUUGUGAGAAAACCAUCACACACAGGUACAGACUCUAUAUCAUGAACUACACUAACUUUAC